rnacentral:rRNA from 1 species
GAUGAACGCUAGCGGCAGGCUUAACACAUGCAAGUCGAGGGGUAUUGGUUUUCGGACCAAGAGACCGGCGCACGGGUGCGUAACGCGUAUGCAAUCUACCUUUUGCAGAGGGAUAGCCCCAGAGAAAUUUGGAUUAAUACCUCAUAGUAUAGUACUUUGGCAUCAAGGAACUAUUAAAGUCACAACGGCAAAAGAUGAGCAUGCGUCCAUUAGCUAGUUGGUAAGGUAACGGCUUACCAAGGCUACGAUGGGUAGGGGUUCUGAGAGGGAGAUCCCCCACACUGGUACUGAGACACGGACCAGACUCCUACGGGAGGCAGCAGUGAGGAAUAUUGGACAAUGGGCGCAAGCCUGAUCCAGCCAUGCCGCGUGCAGGAUGACGGUCCUAUGGAUUGUAAACUGCUUUAUACAGGAAGAAACACUCCGACGUGUCGGAGCUUGACGGUACUGUAAGAAUAAGGAUCGGCUAACUCCGUGCCAGCAGCCGACGG